UCAAAACCAAAAUGGACUCUGGGACCUUUUAUUAGAUCAACUUUUCUCCCAGCAGCCUCCACAACAACAACAACAACAACACAGAGUGUGAGUUCCUCACCUUCUCCAUCCUCCUCUGAAACCAGCAGAGUCUCUGAGAAACCAGCUGCAGCUUCAGGUCUGCUGCUCUAUGUGCUUCUGUCUCUGGUCGCCAAGAUCAUCUUAUUUUCAACUCCUUUGGUGAUUUUCUGCAGGAAGAGGAGGCUCACUGAAAGCAGAGGUCCUGCUGUGGAAACAGAGUUCA